rnacentral:rRNA from 1 species
GACGUAGGGCGCGAGCGUUGUCCGGAUUUAUUGGGCGUAAAGAGCUCGUAGGCGGUGUGUCACGUCGGCCGUGAAAACCUGCAGCUUAACUGUGGGCGUGCGGUCGAUACGGGCAUCACUGGAGUUCGGUAGGGGAGACUGGAAUUCCUGGUGUAGCGGUGAAAUGCGCAGAUAUCAGGAGGAACACCAAUGGCGAAGGCAGCUCUCUGGGCCGUAACUGACGCUGAGGAGCGAAAGCGUGGGGAGCGAACAGG